AGCUGAGGAAGUAAUAUUGGGUGCAUGCUUGUGACGCAGGCGAUGAACCAUGCUAUGCUGGUGUCCCUAUGUCUACAAUUAUUGAACAGGGUUAUGGAGUUGGUGAUGUUAUUUCUCUUUUGUGGUUCAAGCGCAGCCUUCCUCGCUAUUGCACUCAGUUUAUUGAGAUAUGCGUCAUGCUUUGUGCUGACCAUGGUCCCUGUGUAUCUGG